rnacentral:rRNA from 1 species
GACGAACGCUGGCGGCGUGCUUAACACAUGCAAGUCGAACGGAAAGGCCCUGCUUUUGUGGGGUGCUCGAGUGGCGAACGGGUGAGUAACACGUGAGUAACCUGCCCUUGACUUUGGGAUAACUUCAGGAAACUGGGGCUAAUACCGGAUAGGAGCUCCUGCUGCAUGGUGGGGGUUGGAAAGUUUCGGCGGUUGGGGAUGGACUCGCGGCUUAUCAGCUUGUUGGUGGGGUAGUGGCUUACCAAGGCUUUGACGGGUAGCCGGCCUGAGAGGGUGACCGGCCACAUUGGGACUGAGAUACGGCCCAGACUCCUACGGGAGGCAGCAGUGGGGAAUAUUGCACAAUGGGCGGAAGCCUGAUGCAGCAACGCCGCGUGCGGGAUGACGGCCUUCGGGUUGUAAACCGCUUCCGCCUGUGACGAAGCGUGAGUGACGGUAAUGGGUAAAGAAGCACCGGCUAACUACGUGCCAGCAGCCGCGGUGAUACGUAGGGUGCGAGCGUUGUCCGGAUUUAUUGGGCGUAAAGGGCUCGUAGGUGGUUGAUCGCGUCGGAAGUGUAAUCUUGGGGCUUAACCCUGGGCGUGCUUUCGAUACGGGUUGACUUGAGGAAGGUAGGGGAGAAUGGAAUUCCUGGUGGAGCGGUGGAAUGCGCAGAUAUCAGGAGGAACACCAGUGGCGAAGGCGGUUCUCUGGGCCUUUCCUGACGCUGAGGAGCGAAAGCGUGGGGAGCGAACAGGCUUAGAUACCCUGGUAGUCCACGCUGUAAACGGUGGGUACUAGGUGUGGGGUCCAUUCCACGGGUUCCGUGCCGUAGCUAACGCUUUAAGUACCCCGCCUGGGGAGUACGGCCGCAAGGCUAAAACUCAAAGGAAUUGACGGGGCCCCGCACAAGCGGCGGAGCAUGCGGAUUAAUUCGAUGCAACGCGUAGAACCUUACCUGGGUUUGACAUGGAUCGGGAGUGCUCAGAGAUGGGUGUGCCUCUUUUGGGGUCGGUUCACAGGUGGUGCAUGGCUGUCGUCAGCUCGUGUCGUGAGAUGUUGGGUUAAGUCCCGCAACGAGCGCAACCCUUGUUCACUGUUGCCAGCACGUUAUGGUGGGGACUCAGUGGAGACCGCCGGGGUCAACUCGGAGGAAGGUGGGGAUGACGUCAAGUCAUCAUGCCCCUUAUGUCCAGGGCUUCACGCAUGCUACAAUGGCUGGUACAGAGAGUGGCGAGCCUGUGAGGGUGAGCGAAUCUCGGAAAGUCGGUCUCAGUUCGGAUUGGGGUCUGCAACUCGACCUCAUGAAGUCGGAGUCGCUAGUAAUCGCAGAUCAGCAACGCUGCGGUGAAUACGUUCCCGGGGCU